rfam:Gossypium raimondii Chr01_contig_349, whole genome shotgun sequence.
UGUUAAAAAUUUCAUCCACUUGUACUAUUAAAAAUUGACAUGGUUGAUGGAAUAACUAAUCAAUGACACAUGAUACGCCACACGUACCUCAUGCUAGUAUAUAGGGAUCAAAUUUUAUCAAUUGAAAUGGAUGAAAUUUUUAACA